UACAUGGGGUGCAAACGUUGCUCGGAAUUAUUGGGCGUAAAGCGCACGUAGGCGGUUCGUUAAGUCGGAUGUGAAAGCCCUCGGCUCAACUGAGGAAGUGCACCCGAAACUGGCGAGCUUGAGUACGAAAGAGGAUCGCGGAAUUCCCGGUGUAGAGGUGAAAUUCGUAGAUAUCGGGGGGAACACCGGUGGCGAAGGCGGCGAUCUGGGUCGAUACUGACGCUGAGGUGCGAAAGCGUGGGGAGCAAACAGG
rnacentral:rRNA from 1 species